GAUCCUGGCUCAGGAUGAACGCUGGCGGCGUGCCUAAUACAUGCAAGUCGAACGCUUCACUUCGGUGAAGAGUGGCGAACGGGUGAGUAAUACAUAAGUAACCUGGCCUUUACAGGGGGAUAACUAUUGGAAACGAUAGCUAAGACCGCAUAGGUGUCAUAGCCGCAUGGAGAUGAUAUGAAAUAUGCUACGGCAUAGGUAGAGGAUGGACUUAUGGCGCAUUAG
rnacentral:rRNA from 1 species